CUGUGACGUGCUGUCUGCCAGCAUUAUGCAUCGAGUUACAUCUCUUCCCAGUUCCACAUCCCGUGGAUAACUCAAGCGCCAGCCAGCCGUUAAAAUCAUUUCUUCCAAAUGAGGGUGGUGGGACCUGACAUGUGGAUGUUUCCUGUUUCCAAAUCCAAGAAAUGAAGGUAACUGACUCCAGGCUAAAAGAGAAUCAUCCUCAUCUGUGGCAAUCACUUAGCAGUGUCUCUAGCUGUGGCUCUGCAGUGCGUCUGACAACUCAGCUUAUCAGCAAGGCACUGUGGAUCUCAUGGAGAUGCCAGGAUGAAUAAGCAGGGGCCUGACAACUGAGGAAUGGACAAUCUGAAGACCUCAGCUCAUGUGUGACUCCAGAACGGAUGCAGAUGGUCAAGGAGAAAAGGAAACUCUCAUUCACUGAACAUGAUUCCAUGCCAGACAGUGUGCCAUGGAUCCUUGUCAUGGUGGGAGGCAAGUAAGAAUCAUUUUUCCAGAUGCAAGAAAUGGAAACCCAGAGAUUUUGUCUAAUUCUUUAUUAUUAUCUUUAAACCAACCAAGUGAGACAGGUAAAAUUCAAACACAAAUAUCAGCUCUCAAAAUGAUUACUGUUGACUCACCUCACUGGGCUUUGAGUCUGAAGGGCUGGAUUUGAUCUCAGUCUUGAUACUUAUAUGAGAAGACCAUGUAUCUCUCUCUCUCUCUGUGUAUGUAAUAUAUAAAAUAUUAGAUAUUAGCAAAUUGCUGACUUUAAAUCUGAUUCUUAACCUCGCUACCAUUAAGCUCCCUCAAUUAUAAAAUGGCCAUAAUUAAACUGCUUUGUAGCAUGUGUUGCUCAGAAUAAAUUAAAUGUCAUAUGCCUA